rnacentral:sRNA from 1 species
UCUAGACGAGGGGCCUAUUCUAGGACGC